UCAGACGUGGUGCACGGCGCACACCCACUCUCCCUGGCCCUCCGGUCUAGCAGUGGGAGCCCCGGGUUCGAUUCCCGGCGUCUGAA